CAAAGGUAGCAUAAUCAUUAGUUUUUUAAUUAAAAGCUUGUAUGAAGGGUUGGACGAGGUAAAAUCUGUCUCUAUUUAAUUUAUUAUAGAAUUUAAUUUUUAAGUUAAAAAGCUUAAAUUAAUUUAAAAGACGAGAAGACCCUAUAGAUCUUUAUAUAAAUUUUAAUAAUUUUAAUUAAGAAUAUUUUAUUUAUUAUUAUUAUUUAUAUUUUAUUGGGGUAAUAAAAAGAUUAAAUUAAUUCUUUUUUUAUUUAAACAUUUAUUUAUGAUUAAAUGAUCCAAUAUUUUUGAUUAAAAGAUUAAGUUACCUUAGGGAUAACAGCGUAAUUUUUUUAGAGAGUUCAUAUCGAUAAAAAAGUUUGCGACCUCGAU
rnacentral:rRNA from 1 species